CGCAAAAUGAAGAGAAAGCCAAUCUAGCGCAGAGGGUACUUGUGACUGAACUCAGGCUCUUGUGGAUACUAGGCAGUUGUUCUGUUAUGGGCCUGCAUCUCCAGCAAGUGCUGACAUCGUUAAAAUAUUCACUGCAAUCACGCUGCUUCACGUAACUUAACAGUGAGCUUUGAACUUCUCUGAAACUUGGAAAGUAAAAGGGGGACCAGCUCUUAAGAGGACAUGUUCUUCUUUGCUACCUGGUCAUCUACAUACCAGAAGGUCAACACAGGCACUAAGUGUUUUAACAUUCAUUUG